ensembl:lncRNA
CAUGGGCUCCAGGCAUUCUGCAAGUGCACUUAGAGGUUACUGCCACUCUCUUGGACUUUGUCUUUGUAAACUCCUGUUUUGCUACAUGCUUUUUUAAAGAUUGAAGCCUACUGAAGAGCCCUCUGUGCAGCCACAUGGGCUUCUUUGGAUGCCUCACUUCUCCACUGGGAUUAUAUACAGUUGUUAGGUCUGGAUUUGAGAUUCCCCCAGUCUCUCCAAGACCUAUUCCCCAUUACUGUCUCCAGUCAUAGGAUUAAAAUUACAUCGUUCACAUGAUAGCCCUGUAAACACCCAGAUUUUUCUCUGUUUCUUAAGUAACACCCAACUUAACAAAUCUAUAGAGGUAUUCCUGCUUUAAAAAACCAAACUGCUGGCUGGGUGCGGUGGCUCAUGCCUAUAAUCUCAGCACCUUGGGAGGCCGAGGUGGGUGGAUUAUUUGAGGUCAGAAGUUCAAGACCAGCCUGGCCAACAUGGUGAAACCUUGUCUCUGCUAAAAAUACAAAAAUUAUCUGGGCGUGUUGGCAGGCGCCUGUAACCCCAGCUACUCAGGAGGCUGAGGCAGGAGAAUCGAUUGAGCCUGGGAGGCAGAGGUUGCAGUGAGCCGAGAUCAUGCCACUGCACUCCAGCCUGGAUGAUGGAGUAAGACUCUUUCUCAACAAACAAACAAACAAACAAAUAAACAAACACCAAACUGCUUUCACAAUGGAACCUAUGUUGAAAGCAUUAAGAAGAGGAAUUUAUUGAAAAUAACACAGUGAACACGUAAAAAUAACGUUACAACCAAGUUUAUCAAAUAAUUAUAUUAAACAUGUUUCAGUUGGGCACAGUGGCUUAUGCUUGCAUUCCCAGCACUUUACAGGACUGAGGUGUGCAGAUCACUUGAGCUCGGGAGUUCGAGACCAGCCUGGGCAAUGUGGUGAAACCCCUUCUCUACAAAAAUAAAAAAUAAAAAAAAUAAAAAAAAAUUAGCCAGGUGUGGUGUUGCAUAAUUGUAGUCUCUGCUACUUGGGAGGCUGAGGUGGGCAGAUUGCUUGAGCCCAGGAGGUCAAGGCUGCAGUGAGCCAUGAGCGUGCCACUGCACUCCAGCCCGGACAACAGUGAGACCCUGACUCAAAAAAAAAUUCUUAUUAUCAUAUUAAACAUAUAGUUCAAGGCAAACUAUAAUGAAGAGUUGUGAUGAUCAAUUCCUGCUCAUCAUAGAAUCAACCAUGGAUAUUUAUUUGAUUGAGGCUAAGUGUCACUGCCUCUACCUCACCAUUUUUUUUUUUAACAGUUUUAAUUUAUUUGACCUUGAGAGAGUUAACUGGGAAGAGCUGAAAAGGAAACCAAGCAGAGUGAGGUCUCAGCUUUCAGGAAAGGUAGGUAGUCAUGUGCACACAGCAGGCCAUUGCUGCAUGCAGAAACUGGGGUCUCCUGCUAACUAUAGAGUUUGCUCAAGCAAUUAUGGAGGCUGAGAAGUUUCAUGAUCUACUGCCUACACGCUGGAGACCCAGGAGAGCUGAUGGUGUAGUUCCAGUUUGAGAUGGAAGGCCUGAGAAUCAGGAGAACUGAUGGUGUAAAUUCCAGUCCCAGUGCAGGAGAAUACCAAUAUCUCAGCUUGAAAACAGGCAGAGAGAGUAAAUUCUCCUUACUCAGCUUUUUGUUCUAUGUAGGCCUCCAAUGGAUUGGAUGAGGCCUACCCACACUGGGGAGAGAAAUCUGCUUUACUCAGUCUGCCAACUCAAAUGUUAAUGUCAUCCAGAAACACCCUCAUGGACACACCCAGAAUCAUGUUUAUCUGGGCAUCCCAUGGCCAAGUCAAGUUGACAUAAAAAUUAAACAUUAACAAUGAGCAAGGAGCCUAGUGGCUAAAAAAUGCAGCUUCAAAUUCAAUGUGCCCUACUUACUGUGACCUUAGGUAAGUUACUUAACCAUUCUAGGCCUCCCUUACCCCCAAGUAAAAUGGAAAUAAUGACAGCUCCUUCCUGAACUUGUUUUUAGAAGCACGUGAGAGAGGGUCAGGUCCAGUGGCUCAUGCCUGUAAUCCCAGAACUUUGGGAUGCCAAGAUGGGAGGAUCGUUUGAUGCUAGGAGUUUGAGACCAGACUGGGCAACAUAGUGAGAUCCCAUCUCUAAAAAAAAAUAAAAAUAAAAAAAA